UGUUAAAAAGAGAAAAUUCCGCCCAAAAUCCUACGUAGAACAGAACAGAACAAGCCACACACAAGCGUUCAUUCAAACAACGUUGAUCACCCAGGCUUCCGCUUGCCUCUCGUUAUCGCUUCUUACUCUUUGCAAGACACGCUGCUCUUCAAAAAGGGUGUCUUUCCUUUUAGCUACUUUCGACCCCAAAACAAAGCGGCCACCAAUACCUUCUUUCUUGCCUAGGAAACUUGGAUCUCAUUGUCGACACGUACAAAAUUUUGCCUUUUUCCAUCUUUUACCAGUGAAAUAGAAUCCCAAUAAUGAUGGAGAGGGCAGAGUCAUGCCAAAAGCUAUAUACAAGAAUGCGGUUAUGGGAAUUCCCUGAUGAGUAUGUGAUCGAACCCACAGAUGGCUCUUCUGCUUCCUCUCUGUCAAUUAGUCGUGUUGAUGCCUCAAUAAAGCUCAUUGAUGGUGUUCCAGAAUGCAGCUCUGUCCGUGUUCCUAAGAUUCAGACGAUUUUUGGAGUAGUUGGAAUGCUAAAGCUUGUUGCAGGGUCAUAUUUAAUUGUUAUAGCAGAGCGUGAAUGUGUUGGAACUUACUUGGGGCAUCCUAUCUUCAAAGUCAUAUCCUUGAAGGUUCUCCCCUGUGAUCAUUCUGUUAAAAACUCUCCUGCAGAACAGAAAAAGGUGGAGAAUGAAUUUUAUGGGCUGCUAAAAAUUGCAGAGAGGACUUCUGGUCUGUAUUUCUCUUAUGACACCAAUUUAACACUGAGUGCUCAGCGAUUAUAUGAUCUGGGAGAUGAAUCUAAAUUGCUUCCUCUUUGGAGACAGGCAGAACCCAGAUUUCUUUGGAACAAUUAUAUGAUGGAAGUACUUAUAGACUACAAGCUUGAUCCAUAUUUGCUUCCAGUUGUGCAAGGGAGUUUUCAUCACUUCCAAGCAGCCAUUGGAAAAGAAAUUGUUGAUGUUACUCUGAUUGCUAGGAGAUGUACACGGAGAAAUGGAACCCGAAUGUGGAGAAGAGGAGCUGAUCCUGAUGGGUAUGUUGCAAAUUUUGUGGAAACAGAGCAAAUUGUGCAGAUGAAUGGGUUUACUUCAUCAUUUGUUCAGGUUCGGGGGUCAAUACCGUUUCUUUGGGAGCAAAUUGUUGAUUUGACUUAUAAGCCUAAGUUUGAGAUUGUGAGAUCUGAAGAAGCUCCCAGAGUAGCUGAGCGGCAUUUUCUGGAUCUAAGAAAAAAGUAUGGAUCUGUACUAGCUGUUGAUCUUGUCAACAAGCAUGGAGGUGAGGGCCGCUUAAGUGAAAAGUUUACAAAUGCAAUGCAGCCCAUAGUUGGUGACGGUUUAAGAUAUCUGCACUUUGAUUUCCAUAAGAUCUGUGGGCAUGUUCAUUUUGAGCGCCUUUCCUUCCUCUAUGAUCAAAUUGCAGAUUUUCUUGAGAAAAAUGGGUACCUCUUGUUGAAUGAAAAGGGUGAGAAAAUGAAGGAGCAACUUGGAGUUGUAAGAACCAAUUGUAUUGAUUGCUUAGACCGAACAAAUGUUACACAGAGCAUGAUAGGUAGGAAAAUGUUGGAACUUCAGCUUAGGAGGAUUGGUGUUUUUGCUGCUGAAGAAACCAUUAGUUCACAUGCAAAUCUUGAUGAAAGCUUUAAAAUAUUGUGGGCUAAUCAUGGUGAUGACAUAAGCAUACAAUAUUCUGGCACUCAUGCACUCAAAGGAGAUUUUGUCAGAUUUGGCCAGCGAACGGUUCAAGGGAUCCUUAAAGAUGGAUAUAAUUCCCUUGUACGCUAUUAUUUGAAUAACUUUCGUGAUGGAACAAAACAGGAUGCGAUUGAUCUCCUGCAAGGACAUUACAUUGUCUCUGUCAGCCGGGAUAUGACACCUCCAUCUCAAACAGGAGGCCUGGAGGCUAUAGCUUCCUUUCCACUAGCUUUAUGUUUGGUCUCGAUAGGGUUGUUGUUCACAGCCAUGUCACUGAGGCAAGCUCGAUACGAUCUUCGACACUUAAUUUUUUCAGUUUUUUGGGCAAGCAUAAGUGUUGCCAUUGCUGCUUUUGUGAGGGCUAACGGCAGGAUUUUCUGCAAUCGUCCUCGUUUGCACAAGCCCCGGUGUUGAUAUUGCAUUUUCGAGUGUGCUGGCAAAUACAAACUUGUUCAACAGUUUUCCAUGUUGCUGAGUCAUACUUAUUCUUUCGCACCAGUUUUUGAAGUUCAUUUAGAUUUACAUUCAUCUAUUUCUCUCAUCAACAUAAACUACAGUAUUCUUUCUUUUCUUUUCCCAUUGUUUUUUUAUAAAUGUUAUUGCACCUUGUGCCUUGUUUAAUGCUGGAAGUGUACUAUAGCAGUGGUUGCAACCAGAAUCUCCUUCACCUUACCUACCAUUGGAGCCUGACAGCGACGACGAAGACAACAACAAAAGGGAGAGUAAUGUUAAGCUAAAAGGAAGAGCAAUUGCUUUAGCCAAGAAAAGAAAGUUUGAGAACCCAGAGCAUGAGCUACAGGUAUACAAUUACUUAGCAAGCCCGUCGAUCAAGAAGUUUUAGCUGCAAAUGGAGGCCAGUAGAGGUGAAACUCGAUUUUGUAGGUAACUGUAAGGCCCUUGAGGUUCACUGGAGAUGAUCUCACGUAGCCUUGCACAAACAGGAAGUCACCCGUACCUCCCACAACCGGAUGAUCGGAGGGCUUAACAUUAUGUGUACCUCCCACGAUGGAAAUGGAUCCCAUGUGCUGCUUCAAACGCAGGGUGAUCUUGGCAACUGAUAUGCUCCGCAGCCCAUCAAAACCAGAGGUGAUGGAACUUCCUUCCGCAAUGCCUACAACUUUCGAAGAUCGGUUUGCUGUAACAGUCAUGGGAUCUUGGAAAACAAAUAUGGUCCCGAAAGGUGUGGUGGUUUCACUGAUCCCUGGUCCUGCCACACCAUUGACUACUAUGUAACCUGUUUUAUUUAUGGUCUCAUGUUGAAAGAGAGCAAAGUGAAGUGACUUGAUUCCAUAAUGAUGGCCGGGGUCAGUGGAGAUGGCCAUGAACGGGAAAGCAAAGAAUAGAACAGCAAGCGCAUGGCUGUGCAGAGUAGGACCCAUGGCAGCGUAAGAAGACAGGAACAUGUGAAAGUUCAUGGAAAAACAUAAACUUUUAUAGACCUUACAAAGACUGUUCACAGCUGGGGCCAUGGAGCUUGGGUCUUUUGACUUGUAGUCCCCAUACAGUUAGUCACAAUAUGAAAGUCCUUUUCACAUUAACCAAAAGCUUUAGUCUUA